rnacentral:sRNA from 1 species
UAAGUCCAUUAGGACAAUAUUAAACAUUUUUCUAUAAAUAAUAAUAAAUAUUGAAAAAGCAUAUAUUUACUUUUGAUAAUGUGAUUGACAAACAUAUAAAUCAGGUCCUUUGUAAGAAAAGUUUUUAGGACCGAAACUAACCCAACGUAACUAGAUUAAAUGUAUGCCAUAAAACUUUAUUUUUUUUUCCUCCCCAGGUUCACCUCCAUUUCUCAAUGUGAGAGCUUUACAUCAUUAAGAUGAGUUGAAUAUAGAUUUCAAUUAAUGUUCUUCCUAAGUGAUAAGGAUGUAGACUUAUAAGCAGGACAAGACUAAUCAUCUUAGCAUUUUACUGCGGGUCCCAUCGACUUAGAAAUGGCUGUUGCAUAUUGGAAAUUAGUGUUAUCUGGAAGGUUUAAAUUUCUAGAUCUCUGGAACACAUUCUUACU